rnacentral:rRNA from 1 species
AACGAACGCUGGCGGCAGGCUUAACACAUGCAAGUCGAGCGCCCCGCAAGGGGAGCGGCAGACGGGUGAGUAACGCGUGGGAAUCUACCCAUCUCUACGGAAUAACGCAUGGAAACGUGUGCUAAUACCGUAUACGUCCUUCGGGAGAAAGAUUUAUCGGAGAUGGAUAAGCCCGCGUUGGAUUAGCUAGUUGGUGGGGUAAAGGCCUACCAAGGCGGCGAUCCAUAACUGGUCUGAGAGGAUGAUCAGCCACACUGGGACUGAGACACGGCCCAGACUCCUACGGGAGGCAGCAGUGGGGAAUAUUGGACAAUGGGCGCAAGCCUGAUCCAGCCAUGCCGCGUGAGUGAUGAAGGCCCUAGGGUUGUAAAGCUCUUUCACCGGUGAAGAUAAUGACGGUAACCGGAGAAGAAGCCCCGGCUAACUUCGUGCCAGCAGCCGCCGCCGUAA